rnacentral:lncRNA from 1 species
GCUGUGGGGGGAUGCCGUAUGUGGUGGGCUGAAUGGUUGAUGCGUUGCUGUGCAUUGAGGUCUCACCUGGCGGUGUGAUGGGGGCUGGGCUGUGCACUUUAUUAAGUUAAGCAAAGCACGGCACGAUGGAUGGGGAUGUUGUGGGAUGUGGUGCUGCGAGGAGGAGGAGGAGGUGCGCCCGAGGUGUCGAAGGAUGGAGGAUGCUCCUCCUCGCUUUGUCGCUUGUGGAUGUGGAUGUGGAUGUGGAUGUGGAUGACAGCUUCUAGGCCCUUCAGCGCAGAGGUCCUACAAGGGGUGCUGUCGGCCUUGCUUCCGGGCUGCACGUGGUUGCGUGUGUUGUGCAGUGCUUUAAUGAUCUAAUGAAUCCUCGUGAAGGACGCGCUGCCUGCUGUUCUGCGCUAUCUUUCUGCGUGCUUUUGCGAUCCACUU